GNGGUGAGCAUUAUUGUAGAGGCAUACACAG
rnacentral:piRNA from 1 species